rnacentral:ncRNA from 1 species
UAAAAGUUUUAUUUUAGCUUAAAAAUUUAUUAUUAAUUUAAUUUAUAUGUAAAUUUUUGUGUGAAUUAUUAUUUAUUUUAAUAAUAAAUAAUUAAUAAUUAUUUGCAAUAAUUAAUAUUAUAAAUUAAAGAAAUUUAGAUAUAGUAAUAUUAAAAAGUAUUGGUUAAAUUUGUGCCAGCAACCGCGGUUAUACGAAUAAUACAAAUAAAUUAUAUUAGAAAAAGUUAAAUUGAAAUUAUAAAAUAUUAAUAAAUUUAUUAGGUGAAAUUUUUAAAUUUAUUAAAUUUUUAAAUUAAUUAAUUAAAGCUUGGAAAUUUUAUUAAUAAACUAGGAUUAGAUACCCUAUUAUUAAAAAUGUAAUUAAAAAAUUCUAAGGUAGUAUUAGUUAUGUUCUUGAAACUUAAAAAAUUUGGCGGUAUUUUAGUCUAUUCAGAGGAACCUGUUCUGUAAUCGAUAAUCCACGAUGGACCUUACUUAAUUUUGUAAUCAGUUUAUAUACCGUCGUUAUUAGAAUAUUUUAAAAGAAUGUUAAUUUUCAAGAUUUUUAAAAAGAAAAAAUAUCAGAUCAAGGUGUAACUUAUAUUUAAGUAGAAAUGGGUUACAAUAAAUUUAUUUAAACGAAUGUAAAUAUGUAAAAUUUACUAAAGGUGGAUUUGAUAGUAAAAUUAUAAAGAUUAAUAAUUUGAUUUUAGCUCUAAAAUAUGCACACAUCGCCCGUCACUCUUAUUAUUAAGAUAAGAUAAGUCGUAACAUAGUAGAUGUACUGGAAAGUGUAUCUAGAAUG